UGGCCUACGGGAGGCAGCAGUGGGGAAUAUUGGACAAUGGGGGCAACCCUGAUCCAGCCAUGCCGCGUGAGUGAUGAAGGCCUUCGGGUUGUAAAGCUCUUUUGGCGGGGACGAUGAUGACGGUACCCGCAGAAUAAGCCCCGGCUAACUUCGUGCCAGCAGCCGCGGUAAGACGAAGGGGGCUAGCGUUGUUCGGAAUUACUGGGCGUAAAGCGCGUGUAGGCGGUUGUCCAAGUCGGGUGUGAAAGCCUUGAGCUCAACUCAAGAAAUGCACUCGAUACUGGGCGACUAGAGGACCGGAGAGGAUAGUGGAAUUCCCAGUGUAGUGGUGAAAUACGUAGAGAUUGGGAAGAACACCAGUGGCGAAGGCGGCUAUCUGGACGGUUACUGACGCUAAGACGCGAAAGCGUGGGGAGCAAACAGGAUUAGAUACCCCAGUAGUCAUU
rnacentral:rRNA from 1 species